rnacentral:tRNA from 1 species
GUCUCUGUGGCGCAAUGGAUAGCGCGCUGGACUUCUUAUCCAGAGGUUCCGGGUCUGAGUCCCGGCAGGGAUG